CGGUAAACAGAGGGAAGCGAGCCUGCGAGGGGGAGCGAAUCCCAAAAAUAACGUCCCAGUUCGGAUUGUAGUCUGCAACCCGACUACAUGAAGCUGGAAUCGCUAGUAAUCGCGGAUCAGAAUGCCGCGGUGAAUACGUUCCCGGGUCUUGUACACACCGCCCGUCACACCAUGGGAGUCGGAAAUGCCCGAAGUCUGUGACCCAACCAUUAAGGAGGGAGCAGCCGAAGGCAGGUCGGAUGACUGGGGUGAAGUCGUAACAAGGUACC
rnacentral:rRNA from 1 species